GUGCCUUUUUGUCACAUGGUACGGCUCGACCGUCUUCCAGUUUCUCAUUCUGGGCCUUCUUCUACUUCUACUGUUCCAGAGAAAUAUGAAACUGGGAUUUGUCGGAGCAGUGAUAUUGGUUGCAGCCGGCGCAAUUGUCACAGGGGUCGUGACGUUCGCCAAAAAUCUGCCCCCGGGAAUGUUAUUCGAGCCAAACUACAAGGAGGCUGAAAGGGUUUCAACGUGGAUAUACCACAAGCCGUAUGCCCAUAUUGGCGCCUUCUGUGUUGGAAUCAUUCUGGGACAAGUGCUACGAGAAUCGAACAAAA